rnacentral:rRNA from 1 species
UACGUAGGGGGCAAGCGUUGUCCGGAAUCAUUGGGCGUAAAGCGCGCGUAGGCGGCUCAGUAAGUCCGCUCUGAAAGCUUGGGGCUUAACCCCAAGAGGCGGGCGGAUACUGCUGGGCUCGAGUCCGGAAGAGGCGAGUGGAAUUCCUGGUGUAGCGGUGAAAUGCGCAGAUAUCAGGAAGAACACCCGUGGCGAAGGCGGCUCUCUGGGACGGUACUGACGCUGAGACGCGAAAGCGUGGGGAGCGAACAGG